GUCGUGAACUUUUAAAAAUGUUAAUAAACAUUAAAAACGCUUUAUUUCAAUAAUAUUGGUUUCAGUUUUAUGUAUCAAGAGGUUGCUCAAUGAACGUUUUUACCUUUAUACUAAUUCCUUUUGUAUUUUUCUUCAUUGUUUUGAAUGUAAUAAUCAUAGAAUCUUUUGUAUUUUUCUUCAUUGUUUUGAAUGCAGUAAUCUUAGAAUCUUUUGGUAUUAACCAUCAAUCAACAAUGGAUACAAAAAAUAAUAUUGCACUCGUUAUUUAUGAAAUGGGAAAAUAUAACGUAGCUUUAGAUAUUUUUUAUUUUGAUAAAAUACAAGCUGAUUUUUUUGGUAUCAACCAUCCGUCGACAAUAAAAACAAAAAAUAGUAUUACAACUUGUUUGAGCAAAUCGGAAAUAUAUAAGGAACCUUGAGAAAUAUAUACUUUUUGAUAUACACGAUCUAAAAUAUAUGGUAGCAACCAUACAUCAACAUUGAAUACAAAACAAAAUAUAGCAUUCUGGUAUAUCGUAAUGAGAAAAUUUCCUUAACGACGUUAAGAAAAUUUAUUCUGUUGUCGAAAUAUAAAUUGAAAUUUGGGAAUCAACCAUACUUCGUCAAAUAGAACAAAAUAUAACAUUUAAAUUUAUUUUUUUAGAUUAAAAGUUAGAUAUAAAUGUUUAA